rnacentral:lncRNA from 1 species
ACGAUCGGAAACGAAUCACGAAUUCGUUUUACAAAGACGGAACGCGCCACCGAGAUAACCAAUCGUCAUACUUUUACAAACGACCGUUCACAAGCAGAGGCCGCAAUAUACUGAACACAUGAUUCCAACGGGGGCUAGUGUCGCCGUAUAGCGUGAAGGUGGCGCCACCGAAGCGGCGCUUCGAUCGAGAUCGGCCACACACGGAAUCUUCGAAAAGGUCGAGAACAAUUUUCGCUCUUCUCGUGGAAAUUACCGUGAAAUCGGCGUGAAUGUGAGUGCACAAAUACACGAUACGUGUCCCGGAAUUUCGUAACCUUCGAACAGAAAUCAAUGGUACUUCAAGCGUCUGAUGUCAAGUAACUAUCAAGGCUGCCAUAUAUCUUGAUUGAAUGCAGAUUAACGCCAAGUCGAACGAACGGAUCUCGACCACAAAGGAUAGAUCGAUGUGCUUUAUACUGUAAUUUAGCGACAACCCUACCGACUACUGGUAAUACUAUUUGCAAACGAUUUACAAUUAGUGAUUGGUAAAGAUUAAUUCGUAGAAACGAUAUUCGAUAAGUAAAUCGUUCAAAAACUAUGUUAGUCAAUGAACGUUCUAUUUAAUCGAUUUUUCGUCAGAUAUUUCGUUUCAAAGAAAUCAAUUCCUUUUGAUCGAUUAUGAACGAUUAUUCAAUUGUUAAAAACGAAUAAAAAUUGUGAAUAUAUAAUAGAGAGAUAUUUGUGAAGUUUUUGAUAUAACAAUAUUGAAAAUAUUUUGAAAUUUGUCACAUUGAUCUGCAAAUUCUUAGAAUUGAUUAUUCAUUGUAUUGAUAUUAGAUGGAUAUAGAAAAUGGA